rnacentral:rRNA from 1 species
CUGGCGGCAGGCCUAACACAUGCAAGUCGAGCGGCCGUAGCAAUACGGCAGCGGCAGACGGGAGAGUAACACGUGGGAACGUGCCCUUUGGUUCGGAACAACACAGGGAAACUUGUGCUAAUACCGGAUACGCCCUUACGGGGAAAGAUUUAUCGCCAAAGGAUCGGCCCGCGUCUGAUUAGCUAGUUGGUGGGGUAACGGCCCACCAAGGCGACGAUCAGUAGCUGGUCUGAGAGGAUGAUCAGCCUCACUGGGACUGAGACACGGCCCAGACUCCUACGGGAGGCAGCAGUGGGGAAUAUUGGACAAUGGGCGCAAGCCUGAUCCCAGCCAUGCCGCGUGGAUGAUGAAGGCCCUAGGGUUGUAAAGUCCUUUCGGCGGGGAAGAUAAUGACGGUACCCGCAGAAGAAGCCCCGGCUAACUUCGUGCCAGCAGCUGC